rnacentral:rRNA from 1 species
UACGGAGGAUGCGAGCGUUAUCCGGAUUUAUUGGGUUUAAAGGGUGCGUAGGCGGUCCGUUAAGUCAGCGGUAAAAUUGCGGGGCUCAACCCCGUCGAGCCGUUGAAACUGUCAGACUUGAGUUGGCGAGAAGUACGCGGAAUGCGCGGUGUAGCGGUGGAAUGCAUAGAUAUCGCGCAGAACUCCGAUUGCGAAGGCAGCGUACCGGCGCCACACUGACGCUGAGGCACGAAAGCGUGGGGAUCGAACAGG